rnacentral:rRNA from 1 species
GUGCCAGCAGCCGCGGUAAUACGAAGGGGGCGAGCGUUGUUCGGAAUUACUGGGCGUAAAGGGCGCGUAGGCGGCGCACCAAGUCAGGCGUGAAAGCCCUGGGCUUAACCCAGGAAUUGCGUUUGAGACUGGCGUGCUGGAGUGCAGGAGAGGUCGGCGGAAUUCCCAGUGUAGAGGUGAAAUUCGUAGAGAUUGGGAAGAACACCGGUGGCGUAGGCGGCCGACUGGACUGUAACUGACGCUGAGGCGCGAAAGCGUGGGGAGCAAACAGGAUUAGAAACCCGCGUAGUCC